rnacentral:rRNA from 1 species
CCUACGGGAGGCAGCAGUGGGGAAUAUUGGGCAAUGGAGGCAACUCUUACCCAGCAAUGCCGCGUGAAUGAAGACGGUCUUCGGAUUGUAAAGUUCUUUAAUUGUGGACGAAAAAAAUUACGGUACCCAAGGAAUAAGCCCCGGCUAACUACGUGCCAGGAGGCGCGGUAAUCCGGAGGGGGCAAGCGGUGUUCGGAAUUACUGGGGGUAAAGGGUGUGUGGGGGGGGUUGCAAAUUAGAAGGGAAAUACCUAGAGCUUAACUGAGGUGCUGCUGCUAAAACUGGUAUACUUGAGUGCAGUAGAGGAAAGUGGAAUUCCUAGUGUAGCGGUGGAAUGCGUAGAUAUUAGGAGGAACAUCAGUGGCGAAGGCGACUUUCUGGACUGUAACUGACGCUGAGGCACGAAAGUGUGGGGAGCAAACAGGAUUAGAUACCCGGGUAGUC